rnacentral:rRNA from 1 species
UACGUAGGGUGCAAGCGUUGUCCGGAAUUAUUGGGCGUAAAGAGCUCGUAGGCGGUUCGUCGCGUCGGCUGUGAAAGCCCGGAGCUCAACUCCGGGCCUGCAGUCGAUACGGGCGGACUUGAGUGUUGCAGGGGAGACUGGAAUUCCUGGUGUAGCGGUGAAAUGCGCAGAUAUCGGGAAGAACACCUAUGGCGAAGGCAGCUCUCUGGGACGGUACUGACGCUGAGGCGCGAAAGCGUGGGGAGCAAACAGG